CCUACGGGAGGCAGCAGUGGGGGAUAUUGCACAAUGGGGGGAACCCUGAUGCAGCGACGCCGCGUGGGUGAAGGAGCGUUUCGGCGCGUAAAGCCCUAUCGGCAGGGAAGAAGGAGGACGGUACCUGACUAAGAAGCCCCGGCUAACUACGUGCCAGCAGCCGCGGUAAUACGUAGGGGGCAAGCGUUAUCCGGAUUUACUGGGUGUAAAGGGGGCGCAGACGGCAGCGCAAGCCAGGAGUGAAAGCCCGGGGCCCAACCCCGGGACUGCCCUUGGAACUGCAUGGCUGGAGUGCGGGAGGGGCAGGCGGAAUUCCUGGUGUAGCGGUCAAAUGCGUAGAUAUCAGGAGGAACACCGGCGGCGAAGGCGGCCUGCUGGACCGCGACUGACGUUGAGGCUCGAAAGCGUGGGGAGCGAACAGGAUUAGAUACCCCUGUAGUC
rnacentral:rRNA from 1 species